UACGAAGGGGGCAAGCGUUGUUCGGAUUUACUGGGCGUAAAGGGCGCGCAGGCGGCGCAUUUUGUCAGGCGUGAAAGCCCCGGGCUUAACCUGGGAACUGCGUUUGAUACGGAUGGGCUAGAGUUCGGGAGAGGAGAGUGGAAUUCCCAGUGUAGAGGUGAAAUUCGUAGAUAUUGGGAAGAACACCGGUGGCGAAGGCGGCUCUCUGGACCGAGACUGACGCUGAGGCGCGAAAGCGUGGGGAGCGAACAGG
rnacentral:rRNA from 1 species